UACGGGGGGGGUAAGCGUUGUUCGGAAUUACUGGGCGUAAAGGGCUCGUAGGCGGCCAACUAAGUCAGACGUGAAAUCCCUCAGCUUAACUGGGGAACUGCGUCUGAUACUGGAUGGCUUGAAUCCGGGAGAGGGAUGCAGAAUUCCAGGUGUAGCGGUGAAAUGCGUAGAUAUCUGGAGGAAUACCGGUGGCGAAGGCGACACCCUGGACCAGCACUGACACUGAGGCACGAAAGCGUGGGGAGCAAACAGG
rnacentral:rRNA from 1 species